GGAGGCAGCAGUGGGGAAUAUUGGACAAUGGGGGGAACCCUGAUCCAGCCAUGCCGCGUGUGUGAAGAAGGCCUUAUGGUUGUAAAGCACUUUAAGCGAGGAGGAGGCUCUUUUGGUUAAUACCCAAGAUGAGUGGACGUUACUCGCAGAAUAAGCACCGGCUAACUCUGUGCCACCAGCCGCGGUAAUACAGAGGGUGCAAGCGUUAAUCGGAUUUACUGGGCGUAAAGCGCGCGUAGGCGGCCAAUUAAGUCAAAUGUGAAAUCCCCGAGCUUAACUUGGGAAUUGCAUUCGAUACUGUUUGGCUAGAGUGUGGGAGAGGAUGGUAGAAUUCCAGGUGUACCGGUGAAAUGCGUAGAGAUCUGGAGGAAUACCGAUGGCGAAGGCAGCCCUCUGGCCUAACACUGACGCUGAGGUGCGAAAGCAUGGGGAGCAAACAGGAUUAGAUACCCUGGUAGUCCAUGCCGUAAACGAUGUCUACUAGCCGUUGGGGCCUUUGAGGCUUUAGUGGCGCAGCUAACGCGAUAAGUAGACCGCCUGGGGAGUACGGUCGCAAGACUAAAACUCAAAUGAAUUGACGGGGGCCCGCACAAGCGGUGGAGCAUGUGGUUUAAUUCGAUGCAACGCGAAGAACCUUACCUGGCCUUGACAUAGUAGAAACUUUCCAGAGAUGGAUUGGUGCUUUCGGGAAUAUACAUACAGGUGCUGCAUGGCUGUCGUCAGCUCGUGUCGUGAGAUGUUGGGUUAAGUCCCGCAACGAGCGCAACCCUUUUCCUUACUUGCCAGCAUUUCGGAUGGGAACUUUAAGGAUACUGCCAGCGACAAACUGGAGGAAGGCGGGGACGACGUCAAGUCAUCAUGGCCCUUACGGCCAGGGCUACACACGUGCUACAAUGGUCGGUACAAAGGGUUGCUACCUAGCGAUAGGAUGCUAAUCUCAAAAAGCCGAUCGUAGUCCGGAUUGGAGUCUGCAACUCGACUCCAUGAAGUCGGAAUCGCUAGUAAUCGCGGAUCAGAAUGCCGCGGUGAAUACGUUCCCGGGCCUUGUACACACCGCCCGUCACACCAUGGGAGUUUGUUGCACCAGAAGUAGCUAGCCUAACUGCAAAGAGGGC
rnacentral:rRNA from 1 species